AGAGUUUGAUCAUGGCUCAGAACGAACGUUGGCGGCGUGCUUAACACAUGCAAGUCGAACGAGAACGGUUUCUUCGGAAACUCAGUAAAGUGGCGCACGGGUGAGUAACGCGUAAGUAAUCUGCCCUUGCAUUUGGGGUAACUACGGGAAGCUGUAGCUAAUACCGAAUACGUUCUCCUUUCUACGGAUUGGAGAAGAAAGAUGGCCUCUUCUUGAAAGCUAUCGUGCAGGGAGGAGCUUGCGUACCAUUAGCUAGUUGGUAGGGUAAAGGCCUACCAAGGCGACGAUGGUUAGCGGGUCUGAGAGGAUGAUCCGCCACACUGGAACUGGAACACGGACCAGACUCCUACGGGAGGCAGCAGUGAGGAAUAUUGCGCAAUGGGGGAAACCCUGACGCAGCGACGCCGCGUGGAUGAUGAAGGCCUUAGGGUCGUAAAAUCCUGUCAGAUGGGAAGAAAUGCAUAUGUACCAAUACUACUUAUGUUUGACGGUACCAUCAAAG
rnacentral:rRNA from 1 species